rnacentral:rRNA from 1 species
GAUGAACGCUGGCGGCGUGCCUAAUACAUGCAAGUCGAGCGAACAGAUGAGGAGCUUGCCCCUCUGACGUUAGCGGCGGACGGGUGAGUAACACGUGGAUAACCUACCUAUAAGACUGGGAUAACUACGGGAAACCGGAGCCAAUACCGGAUAAUAUAUUGAACCGCAUGGUUCAAUAGUGAAAGACGGUUUUGCUGUCACUUAUAGAUGGAUCCGCGCCGCAUUAGCUAGUUGGUAAGGUAACGGCCUACCAAGGCAACGAUGCGUAGCCGACCUGAGAGCGUCGUUCAGCACACUGGAACUGAGCAGCGGUCCCGACUCCUACGGGGAGCCACCGCAGGGAAUCCUCCGCCAUGCGCGAAAGCCUGACGGAGCAACGCCGCGUGAGUGAUGAAGGUCUUCGGAUCGUAAAACUCUGUUAUUAGGGAAGAACAAAUGUGUAAGUAACUAUGCACGUCUUGACGGUACCUAAACAGAAAGCCACGGCUAACUACGUG